rnacentral:rRNA from 1 species
UACGGAAGGGGCAAGCGUUGUUCGGAAUCAUUGGGCGUAAAGAGCGCGCAGGCGGUCGUUCAAGUCGCGUGUGAAAGCCCCCGGCUCAACUGGGGAGGGUCACGCGAUACUGAUCGACUGGAAGGCAGGAGAGGGUAGUGGAAUUCCCGGUGUAGUGGUGAAAUGCGUAGAUAUCGGGAGGAACACCAGUGGCGAAGGCGACUACCUGGCCUGUUCUUGACGCUGAGGCGCGAAAGCUAGGGGAGCAAACGGG